GUGGCGGCGGCCAGGUUGAUGCGCGCGAUCCAGGAACUCAUCUCCUUCGCGGUGCUGAGGGCAGAGGAGACCGUCAGACCCCAAGCCAUCAGAGGGUGAUGAGCGAGGAACCAGGGAGAGGCGAGCCGGGGCCUUGCUGCUGGUCCAUCCCCCCCCACCCCCGACUUACGGAGCCUGGAAGAGGUAGAGGCGCCAGUCGGCAGUCCGCAGCUGGAAGACGUGCGGCUUCUUGGUGUAAUGGGUGGCGGGUGUGGCCAGCGAGUGGUGCACCCCCACAGGCUCGUCCACCAUCUGCCCCACCAAACUCUCCCCUGCAGGGGGGCAGUGGUCCUCUCCCUGGGGGGGGGGCGACACAGGGGCUCAGAAAAGAGGUAAUCAUCAGUUGCCCACCCUCUGAACCAUUCUGGGCCCUUCCCUGCCCUGCCUGUCAGGGCCAUGCACCCCCUCCCUACCUUCAGGAAGUAAAGGACCAUCCCUCGAAGCAACGUGUGGAACAUCUUCCAGCCGCGCUUGCCCCACGGCGCUGCCCCAGGAGCAGAACACAACCAGACUCAGACACACAUGACCCCUCUCCCCAACUUCGUCCCUCCCCAGGUGCACAUAAACACACAGCAACAUGCCAGCACCACAAGACACAGUCGCAAACAAGCAGUGCCACGCCUCACACCCUGGAAGUUGCACUCAAGCCCCACCAACAACAAAAGCAGAUGUCCACACCGACUGUCCCCUCUCUCGCCACUCCCACCCAUCCUGAGAGGCACAGGGGCUCAGCUCCUCGUGCAGAAGAAGGGUCUCCGGGGUCACCUCUCUACCUUGCUCAGGCCCUGUGGCUUCUUGAAGCCAAAUGCUAGUUCCCCGGCCGGCUACCUCACCCUGUCCGAUCCAUCCAGGACCCCAUUAAUGUUCUGGUCCUGUCGCUGCCCUGCUAUAAAGCCUGCACCUGUCCGCACUGAGGCCAGAUGUACCUCCUGCUGUUUUGUUCCCAGCAGACUAUGCCUGCUCCUUUGUCUGGGGGGGGAUGCCCUCUGGCCUCUUCCACCAAGGUUCGGUCAGAUACCAUCAUUUCCCAGAAGCCUCACCCAUCCCUGUCCCCCACACCUCACCCCCAAGUCUAAUCAAAGCCUGCCCCUCCUCCACACCCCCAUACUUUAUCUCCCCCUCCCUAUACCCCUCAGCCAUUUCCACCUUUUAUCCCAGACACUGAUGUGCUCACCUAACCUCCCCCUUACCACGGGGACCUGGAAAGCAGGGAGUACCUAGGUAUGUCUUAUCUCUGUACCCCUGUCCCUGGCAUCUUACCCAGUGCCCAGCACAUGAUCCCCAUCAAGGAAGCAACAAAGGCUGCCUGUCCCUGACCCUGACCGUGCCAGCCCUCUGCACCUCAGCCCCCAGGUCACCUGCGCCAAGCCACUUGGCACUCCCACAGGCACGCACACACUUGGGCUUGGUGGCGGACACAAGCCCUCCACGCCACAGGGCAGCAGACACUCACUCUUCUUGCCGUCCGCAUCGUGAUGCAUCUUCCGGGCCAGGAUGCCCUGCUUGUAGGUCGGCGCCGUGGGGUUCUGGGCCAGCUGCAGGAAAGGGUUGCUCAGCUUGCCAGUGGGGGGAGACACCUGGGCCUUCUGUGGUCGGCCUGCGUCGUCUUCAUCCCUGGACAUCAGAGAAUCAGGUUGGGGGUACUGACCAGGCAGAGGCCACCAGGAGGUGCCCAUGCACCUGUGCCCCAGGAUCCCCAAAAAGGAGUCCUUCAAAACCAGCCCGUCCAUUCCUGUCAUCCCCACCCUCCACGGCCCCUGGCUUCUCCAGGUGUUACCUGGGCUCCUUCACCCCUUGGAGACUCGCCCAGCGCCCAGCCUCUGGCUGGACCCCGCUCAGAGGGAAACACUGUCCAGCACCUCUCCCAGGCUCGUGCAACUCUCAGCCCUGGCAAUGUCUAGCAGGGUGCCAAGCACACAGCAAGUGUUAUAGAAAUGUCCACCAUGCAGACAAAAGAACCAGUGCAGGGGCGCCUGGGUGGCUCAGUCGGUUAAGCCGCUGCCUUCGGCUCAGGUCGUGAUCU